UACGGAGGGUGCGAGCGUUAAUCGGAAUUACUGGGCGUAAAGCGCGCGUAGGCGGUUGUGCGAGUCGGGUGUGAAAGCCCCGGGCUUAACCUGGGAAUUGCAUUCGAUACUGUACGGCUAGAGUCUAGGAGAGGGAAGUGGAAUUCCGGGUGUAGCGGUGAAAUGCGUAGAUAUCCGGAGGAACACCAGUGGCGAAGGCGACUUCCUGGCCUAAGACUGACGCUGAGGUGCGAAAGCGUGGGGAGCAAACAGG
rnacentral:rRNA from 1 species